rnacentral:rRNA from 1 species
GACGAACGCUGGCGGCGUGCUUAACACAUGCAAGUCGAACGGAAAGGCCCUGCUUGCAGGGUACUCGAGUGGCGAACGGGUGAGUAACACGUGGGUGAUCUGCCCUGCACUUCAGGAUAAGCCUGGGAAACUGGGUCUAAUACCGGAUAGGAGCCAUUUUGAGUGUGAUGGUUGGAAAGUUUUUUCGGUGUAGGAUGAGCUCGCGGCCUAUCAGCUUGUUGGUGGGGUAAUGGCCUACCAAGGCGGCGACGGGUAGCCGGCCUGAGAGGGUGGACGGCCACAUUGGGACUGAGAUACGGCCCAGACUCCUACGGGAGGCAGCAGUGGGGAAUAUUGCACAAUGGGCGCAAGCCUGAUGCAGCGACGCCGCGUGGGGGAUGACGGCCUUCGGGUUGUAAACUCCUUUCGCUAGGGACGAAGCUUUUUGUGACGGUACCUAGAUAAGAAGCACCGGCUAACUACGUG